GCUUACGGGCCACACCGCCUAGUUCAUGCCCGAUUUCGUUUGAUCUCGGAAGCUAAGAUAGGUUGGCCCUGGUUAGUACUUGGAUGGGAGACCGCCUGGGAAUACCAGGUGCUGUGCUUU
ensembl:rRNA 5S_rRNA 5S ribosomal RNA